rnacentral:tRNA from 1 species
GCCCUGGUGGCACAAUGGUUGAGAGCGUGGUGGUUAACCAAAAGGUCGGUGGUUCAAACCCACCCAGUGGCU